rnacentral:rRNA from 1 species
UACUCAGUUCNGAUUGCAGGCUGCAACCCGCCUGCAUGAAGUCGGAAUUGCUAGUAAUCGCGGAUCAGCAUGCCGCGGUGAAUACGUUCCCGGGCCUUGUACACACCGCCCGUCACACCAUGGGAGCCGGUAAUACCCGAAGUCAGUAGUCCAACCUCGUGAGGACGCUGCCGAAGGUAGGAUUGGCGACUGGGGUGAAGUCGUAACAAGGUAAC